rnacentral:tRNA from 1 species
UGUAGCUCAGUGGUAGAGCACAUGCUUAGUAAGCUCGAGGUCCUGGGUUCAAUUUCCAGCA